CGCAUGGAUGAACAGACAUCAGGUUAACAGUCCUUCUUUUUGUUUUUCCACAUAUGUGUGUGUAUAGCUAUAUAUAUAUAUACUAACUAAUGAAAACAUAUUUAGCAAGCUAAAUGUUUGUAUACUCAUUGCAAUAACUUUAAAUCACUGAUUGAUUGAUUGAUUGAGUGAUAUAUUUACAUAUAUAUAUAUAUAUAUAUAUAUAUAUAUAUAUUAAAAUACAUUUUACCAAGCCGGUCAUCCUUUUUAUCCUAGUAGGAGUGGUUUCCGAGACUCUCCCCUCUUUGUGUGGAUGUGUUCCUCCGUACAUAAUUGAUUUUAUACCUCAGCCAAUCAAUGAUGUUUGUGGAAAAUCAAACACCAUUUUUAAAAACAUAUAUAAGUAUAUAUAUUAUCAAUAAAGAUAUAAUUUAUUCAUGAUACUUUAAAUCUUAAAGUUAUUAAAAUGAUAUUAAUAUUAUGUCUAUUUGUAUCUUCAUUUAAAGUUUAAUGAUAAUAAAUUAAGCAUACUAAUUA
rnacentral:lncRNA from 1 species